rnacentral:misc_RNA from 1 species
CAGAGAUCAUGCCCUCACGGGUAGACCUCCCACCCUGUUUAUAUACUAUUGUUGCUUUGGCAGGCCGCCUUUUAGGCUCCCGGCUCCGGCUGGGGAGUGUCUGCCAGAGGACCCUAAACUCAGAAUGUUAGUGUUGUCCGAGUACUAUAUAAUAGUUA